AUUUACUUAGUCUAGAGUGGUGCAGUAUUCUAGUCAGUCAAACUAAUUUUGAAGGCGGGGCUAAAAAUCCGUCAUAUGGCACAUCGAUGAAGUCCCUGGUUUCGGCUUCUGACGCCCCGUCGGGGGUCGUUUCUGGGAGUAAGGAGGAUGGGGCGAUCUGCAAGGGCAUGCAGGCGUUGACCCUACCUUCGUGGAGACUCGAAUAUUAAUAUAAUGUUUGAGAUAAACCUACAAUAGUAGUUACAGCUACUUGUAGUGUAGCCUGCCUUGCGUGAAAUAGGCGGAACACAGGUGUAGCUUUGAAACCUAUGGGCCCAUAGAAUGAUAAGCUUUGCUGUGGAAACCUAUUUUGCAAAAGAGGCUAGAAAUUAGUGUAGCUGCAGAGGAAAUCUCCUAGACUGUUCUAAAUGAGGUAUAUUUAGGGAUUACAGUGCGGACUAAGUGGUAAUCUAGCUCUAUUUUUGGCGACAGAGUAGAGGUAGGAUUAAAGGGAAACCGCUGAUUUGGCGACAAACAGUUCUUACCUGGGAAAUCCUGCUAGACCUCAAGCCGUAAAAUUUACCUAAUAUACUACCACUCAUGCUGAUAGCUUU
rnacentral:sRNA from 1 species